GAAUUCAACUCCUACGGGAGGCAGCAGUGGGGAAUAUUGCACAAUGGAGGGAACUCUGAUGCAGCGACGCCGCGUGAACGAUGAAGGCUUUCGAGUCGUAAAGUUCUUUUAUAUGGGAAGAUAAUGACGGUACCAUAAGAAAAAGCCCCGGCUAACUACGUGCCAGCAGCCGCGGUAAUACGUAGGGGGCUAGCGUUGUCCGGAAUCACUGGGCGUAAAGGGUUCGCAGGCGGAAAUGCAAGUCAGAUGUAAAAGGCAGUAGCUUAACUACUGUAAGCAUUUGAAACUGCAUAUCUUGAGAAGAGUAGAGGUAAGUGGAAUUUUUAGUGUAGCGGUGAAAUGCGUAGAUAUUAAAAAGAAUACCGGUGGCGAAGGCGACUUACUGGGCUCAUUCUGACGCUGAGGAACGAAAGCGUGGGUAGCAAACAGGAUUAGAAACCCUAGUAGUCCAGGCGUU
rnacentral:rRNA from 1 species